rnacentral:lncRNA from 1 species
UUUUUUAUGCUUUGAUCUUUGAUUUCUUUUUUCCUUUUGUUUUGUCAAAAACAUACCAUUACUAUUUGAUUUUCUUUUUUACACAUUUCCUUUCCUCCCCAACUUUGUUUUUGAAAUACUCUUAUAUUUUUUAAGUGUUCUCUUAUUCUUAAGAUAAGGUGGUGAACAUUGUUUUUUUUUUAAAAUUGGUCAAGGGUUGUAACGUUGAAAGAACAAAUAUUUUCAUAUAUACUCAAAGGGGUUGUCAGAG